AGAUUGAUGAUGUCACCCCCAUAAAACCACUCCUUAGGAAAUCUGAACAAAAUGAAUGAAAACUGACUAGUUGUUCUCAUUGAGGCUGGACCCC
ensembl:snoRNA SNORD116 Small nucleolar RNA SNORD116